rnacentral:rRNA from 1 species
CAGCCGCCGCGGUAAUACGUAGGGUGCAAGCGUUAAUCGGAAUUACUGGGCGUAAAGCGUGCGCAGGCGGCUAUGCAAGACAGAUGUGAAAUCCCCGGGCUCAACCUGGGAACUGCAUUUGUGACUGCAUGACUAGAGUACGGCAGAGGGGGAUGGAAUUCCGCGUGUAGCAGUGAAAUGCGUAGAUAUGCGGAGGAACACCGAUGGCGAAGGCAAUCCCCUGGGCCUGUACUGACGCUCAUGCACGAAAGCGUGGGGAGCAAACAGGAUUAGAUACCCGUGUAGUCCCUGUCUCUUAUAC